GCCCCCGGCAUCCAUUCCUGCAGCAGUCAGGACAGACUUCUUGUGGUGCAUAACAAGCACGCCCCAAGCUCAGUGCCUUAGAGCCUCGUCUCUGAGGCUGGGGCCCAGGGCUUAGUUCUGGUUGCUGCUGUCUGGCCUCACAGUGUGGCAUUAUCAUUUCAUCUUCAGCGCCUCUUCCUGAGAAGGGGACUCUGUCCCUGGUCUGAGGUGGGUCAUGAGUGAAGAAGAGGGAAGCAGGGCUCAUGGUCUCCUGCCUGAGUCUGGCGCCAUGGCAGCCAGCGAGGUUCAAGGGGAAGGGGGGCUGGCCCACCUCUCGUGCUGGAGGAGCUGCAGGGUCAUGCUCCAGAGAGCAGGACGCAGGAAGGCCCGGGAGGAGAGGCGCAGUUCUCCCGCCCCAGGGCUCUUUACACCUCUGUGCAGAUGGCUGGCCCUUAACCUCUCCCUGCCUUGGGUUUUGCAGCUGAGCCCGGAGCCCAGACAGGGAUGGUGCAUCUCCCUGCCCCAGGGUCACGGUGACUCAGUUUUGAGUCUCUUGUCGGGACUUUCCAGGCUCUCCCUCCCCUCCCACUGCUCUGUGCUUGUUACAACACAGAAGGGGCCUGCAUUUGGGAGGUGCUGGGUGGAUUCUCCCUCUCGAGUCACCUGUGGGUGGUGGGUGUGGCUGGGUGGCUCUGCGGCCUGGUCCCAGCCUGUCUCUGCUCUGCUCUGUCACCGUUGGCCGAGGGCCUGCAGGGAUGCUCGCCACAGGGACCUGUCUGUGCUCGCGACACAGCCAGGUGAGGUCGGAGAGGACACAGCUGACCACAGGAGCGGGCAUGGGGAGCACGGGUGCUGAUGGAAUCUUCCUGAAUCUUCCUGAGCUUGACCCCUGCUCUCUGUUAUGCGGCCUUGGACUCUGGGAUCCUCGAGGCAGGGCUGGCAAAGAAAAGAAAAAGGAAACCAGGAGCCCAGGAAGCCAGCUGCGAGGAGGAGGUGGGAGCAGUCUGUUCCAUCUUGGCAACACCAAGCUCAACCUGGUUUCCAAGGACGCUGAACAGCCCAGGAGAGGAUGCGGGUCCCGAGCGGCAACCUUCGAAAGCUGAGCACGUGUUGUCCAAGGGCACAGACUUGCUCCAAGUAUGUAAAUGAGGCCCGGAGAUCUAACCCACAGCACCAUGAUUAUAGUCAACAGGACUGCAUUAUGAACUUUAAAGUUGCUGAGAGAUUGGAUCUCAAUUGUUCUCACCAUACACGAAAAAUAAUAACUAUGUGAGGAGACAGAGGUGUUAGCCAAUACAUCAUGUUGCUACAUUGAGACAUAUCAAAUCAAUACAUUGUAUACCUUAAACUUAUACAAUAUUAUAUGAUGAUUAUAAAUUAAUUUUAAAUAAAGAAAACAGAGUGCA